AAGCGACACGUGGCACAUCUCCUUACAAAAUGAAUCUAUCAUAGCGGCUGUUUUCAGAGGCUUUCCGAAACAGAGUGUGAUCUGGAACAAAUUGUGAAGCCCACGAGCCUGGUGAAACAUUCAUUAUUGAGCACCUGCUGUAUACCUCCUUGAGCUGAGGAGAAGGAUCAAGAGCUCAUGGCCAAGAGGGGACCAGGCCCACCCACAAACACUGUUGAUGUGCGGCCCUGAGCUGCGGCAGGGAUGUGGCAACGCAGAAAGGAACCAGGUGGCACAGAAUGUGGUCCUGUACACAGGCGACUCCAACCUGGGGCUGGAGCCGUUUGAGGCAGCUGGAGAUAUCUUCAACGAGGCCUGGGCGUGGGAGAAAGCCGUGUCCUUCUACCGGGGGACUGGCUGAAUGAGCACGUCGCCUACCACUGGCUGGCCGCCCUGCACCACUUGCUGGGCCAUGGCAAGCUGGCGGAGCACUUCUACCUCAAGGCCCUGUAGCUCUGCAACUCGCCGCUGGAGUUUGAUGAGGAGACCCUCUACUACGUGAAGGUGUACCUGGUGCUCGGUGACAUCAUCUUCUAUGACCUGAAGGUCAGUAGGGAGGGACAGGGCUCGGGGUGUUUCCAGCCCCCUUGGAGUGGGAUCUCCACCCAGAGUCCAGGUGCCUGGGUUCCAGCCUUCCUUAGGAAUGGCCCAGUGGCCUCCCUGGAGCUCUGCACAUGGCUGGAGGAACCGGCAAGGUUCCCAGAUACAACCCAGCUCCCAAGCUGGCCAGGCCCCACCCUCAAGAACUCAGUCUCAGCCUGGGAGGCUGACACAUGAGGGAGCAAUGGUGGCCUCUGGGUAAAGAAGGGGGAUUGUAGUCAGGGGGGCCCUGCUUGAGGAGGUGACACCAAACUGAGUCUUGACAGUCAAGUGUCAAGUUGCAUUUAACAAAACAGGGUCAGGAGAAGGACAUUUUGGAGGACGGCAUCAUCCUCACAUUGAAUCCACAUUGUAAGAUCCAACCCAAAUCCCAGUGCCUCCUCUAGGAAGCCUGCCCAGGGUGCGAGCCUGCACUGAGCAACUCCUUCCUGG
rnacentral:lncRNA from 1 species